UACGUAGGGUGCAAGCGUUAGUCGGAAUUACUGGGCGUAAAGCGUGCGCAGGCGGUUUUGUAAGUCAGAUGUGAAAUCCCCGGGCUUAACCUGGGAACUGCAUUGGUGACUGCAUCGCUCGAGUAUGGCAGAGGGGGGUAGAAUUCCACGUGUAGCAGUGAAAUGCGUAGAGAUGUGGAGGAAUACCGAUGGCGAAGGCAGCCCCCUGGGUCAAUACUGACGCUCAUGCACGAAAGCGUGGGGAGCAAACAGG
rnacentral:rRNA from 1 species